rnacentral:rRNA from 1 species
ACGAACGCUGGCGGCGUGCUUAACACAUGCCAGUCGAACGGAAAGGCCCUGCUUUUGUGGGGUGCUCGAGUGGCGAACGGGUGAGUAACACGUGAGUAACCUGCCCUUGACUUUGGGAUAACUUCAGGAAACUGGGGCUAAUACCGGAUAGGAGCUCCUGCUGCAUGGUGGGGGUUGGUAAGUUUCGGCGGUUGGGGAUGGACUCGCGGCUUAUCAGCUUGUUGGUGGGGUAGUGGCUUACCAAGGCUUUGACGGGUAGCCGGCCUGAGAGGGUGACCGGCCACAUUGGGACUGAGAUACGGCCCAGACUCCUACGGGAGGCAGCAGUGGGGAAUAUUGCACAAUGGGCGGAAGCCUGAUGCAGCAACGCCGCGUGCGGGAUGACGGCCUUCGGGUUGUAAACCGCUUUCGCCUGUGACGAAGCGUGAGUGACGGUAAUGGGUAAAGAAGCACCGGCUAACUACGUG